ACAGAAGAAGAAUCAUUGAGGUCCUUACAUGUGACCUACAAAAGAGGAAUAUCCUGACACCUUCAAAACAGGGAUACACCAACCUACUAGAUGCCCUGUUUAGUGAAUAUCCACACAUUGGAGACCCAAAAUGUUGGAGGAUGUCCCUUCGUACCAAGAUGAAAAACAUUCGAGUGCCACUAACAUCACACAACACUG